rnacentral:rRNA from 1 species
UACGAAGGGGGCUAGCGUUGCUCGGAUUGACUGGGCGUAAAGGGCGCGUAGGCGGUUUGCAUAGUCAGACGUGAAAUUCCUGGGCUUAACCUGGGGGCUGCGUUUGAUACAUGCAGGCUUGAGUUCGGAAGAGGGUCGUGGAAUUCCCAGUGUAGAGGUGAAAUUCGUAGAUAUUGGGAAGAACACCGGUGGCGAAGGCGGCGACCUGGUCCGAUACUGACGCUGAGGCGCGACAGCGUGGGGAGCAAACAGGAUUAGAGUA